UACGGGGGGAGCAAGCGUUGUUCGGAUUUACUGGGCGUAAAGGGCGCGUAGGCGGCCACCGCAAGUCGACUGUGAAAUCUCCGGGCUUAACCCGGAAAGGUCAGCCGAUACUGCGGGGCUAGAGUGCAGAAGGGGCAACUGGAAUUCUCGGUGUAGCGGUGAAAUGCGUAGAUAUCGAGAGGAACACCUGCGGCGAAGGCAGGUCACUGGGCAGUUACUGACGCUGAGGAGCGAAAGCGUGGGGAGCGAACAGG
rnacentral:rRNA from 1 species